CACCACCACAAGGCCGGGGUGCGGGGCCGCCUCCGCGUCACCGCGGCGCGGCGCCGGGCGUGGCAGCAGCAGUCCGCCUGCUGCAAGCGGCCGGCGCGCCGCGACCCGGUCGACACCGUGCGCAAGUUCAUGCGCCGCGAGAUCGGCGGGGGCCACCGACGGCCCCCGCGCCCCGCCGCGCCCUCCACCUCCGCCUUCUCCUGCCCCGAGAAGUUCCGCAACUUCCAGCUGCAGGAAGAAUAUGACACAUAUGACGAUCCGUUUGUCCAGCUGCCAUUGGCAUGGAACAGAAGGAGGAUUAUUGAGAUUGUAGCUGCAAGAGAUUUAAUAUUUGCACUCGCCGAAUGUGGUCUUUGUGGUGCAUUCAAUCGAACAACAAACAAGCGCAUUUGCCAUUUGAAUAUAAGCCCGGAUGAGGUGAUUAGGAGUCUGUUCUAUAAUAAGAACAAUGACUCACUUAUCACUGUUUCAGUUUAUGAAUCAGAUCGUUACAGUUCACUGAAGUGCAGAACAACUCCAAUAGAAUACAUCCGGAGAGGCCAGCUACAUGAUGGAUUUCCUUUAUUUGAAACUGAAUCGCUGAAAUAUCCUGGCUUUGUUGAGUUUGAUGAUGUUAAUGGCAAAGUUUUGACUUUUUCGGCACAUGAUAGUACCUACAAGGUUUUUGAUCUAAAGAAUUACAACUUUCUGUAUUCUAUAUGUGAUAAGGACAUCCAGGAGAUAAAGAUAAGCCCUGGGAUCAUGCUUGUUAUAUACCAGAAGGCAAGUAAUCAUGUCCCACUAAAGAUAUUGUCAAUCGAGGAUGGAACAACACUGAAAACCUUCACUCAGUUGCUGCAUCGAAACAGAAAGGUUGACUUCAUCGAGCAGUUUAACGAAAAGCUUCUUGUGAAGCAAGACAAGGAAAACCUGCAGAUUAUUGAUGUCAGAAACUCUGGUCUGAUUGAGGUGAACAAAACAGAGUUCAUGACCCCUUCAGCGUUCAUCUUCCUGUAUGAAAAUAAUCUGUUCCUGACAUUCUGCAAUAGAACGGUUGCUGCUUGGAAUUUCCGUGGAGAGCUGGUUACAUCAUUCGAUGACCAUGAGUUGUGGCAUCCCAACUGCAACACCAAUAAUAUAUACAUCACCGCCGACCAGGACUUGAUCAUCUCAUACUGUAAAGUUUCAGGAGGCGGCACAAAUGACGCUGAUGAUGAAGGUUCCCGCAUGGGAUCGAUCAACAUGAGCAACAUCUUCACGGGGAAGUGCGUCGCCAAGAUCUCGGCCCUGGACCCGACCCUCAUGGUCGCUCCCCGGAGAAAAGGCGACACCAGCAGGUCCACCAUCCGGAGCAGCGUGUCGGAUGCCCUGGAGGACAUCACGGCGCUCUUCUACGACGAGGACCGCA
rnacentral:rRNA from 1 species